rnacentral:rRNA from 1 species
UACGUAGGGUGCAAGCGUUAAUCGGAAUUACUGGGCGUAAAGCGUGCGCAGGCGGUUAUGUAAGACAGGUGUGAAAUCCCCGGGCUUAACCUGGGAACUGCAUUUGUGACUGUAGAGCUGGAGUGCGGCAGAGGGGGAUGGAAUUCCGCGUGUAGCAGUGAAAUGCGUAGAUAUGCGGAGGAACACCGAUGGCGAAGGCAAUCCCCUGGGCCUGCACUGACGCUCAUGCACGAAAGCGUGGGGAGCAAACAGG